CCUACGGGAGGCUGCAGUGAGGAAUAUUGGUCAAUGGUCGGGAGACUGAACCAGCCAAGCCGCGUGAGGGAUGACGGUACAGAGUAUCGUAAACCUCUUUUGUCAGGGAACAAAGGCGGGGACGCGUCCCCGGAUGAGUGUACCUGAAGAAAAAGCAUCCGCUAACUCCGUGCCAGCAGCCGCGGUAAUACGGAGGAUGCGAGCGUUAUCCGGAUUUAUUGGGUUUAAAGGGUGCGCGGGCGGUCUGUUAAGUCAGCGGUAAAAGCCCGGGGCUCAACCCCGGCCCGCCGUUGAAACUGGCAGUCUCGAGUUGGAGAGAAGUAUGCGGAAUGCGCGGUGUAGCGGUGAAAUGCAUAGAUAGCGCGCAGAACUCCGAUUGCGAAGGCAGCAUGCCGGCUCCACACUGACGCUGAGGCACGAAAGCGUGGGUAUCGAACAGGAUUAGAUACCCUAGUAGUC
rnacentral:rRNA from 1 species